ACACUCCUACGGGAGGCAGCAGUGGGGAAUAUUGGACAAUGGGCGCAAGCCUGAUCCAGCCAUGCCGCGUGAGUGAUGAAGGCCCUAGGGUUGUAAAGCUCUUUCACCGGUGAAGAUAAUGACGGUAACCGGAGAAGAAGCCUCGGCUAACUUCGUGCCAGCAGCCGCGGUAAUACGAAGGGGGCUAGCGUUGUUCGGAUUUACUGGGCGUAAAGCGCACGUAGGCGGACUAUUAAGUCAGGGGUGAAAUCCCGGGGCUCAACCCCGGAACUGCCUUUGAUACUGGUAGUCUUGAGUUCGAGAGAGGUGAGUGGAAUUCCGAGUGUAGAGGUGAAAUUCGUAGAUAUUCGGAGGAACACCAGUGGCGAAGGCGGCUCACUGGCUCGAUACUGACGCUGAGGUGCGAAAGCGUGGGGAGCAAACAGGAUUAGAUACCCUUGUAGUCCCAU
rnacentral:rRNA from 1 species